CGGGGUGAGUAACGCGUGAGCAAUCUGCCUUUGGAUGGGGGAUAACAGCCGGAAACGGCUGCUAAUACCGCAUAAUGCAACGGGACCGCAUGGUCCUGCUGCCAAAGAUUUAUUGUCCAAAGAUGAGCCCGCGUCUGAUUAGCCAGUUGGCGGGGUAACGGCCCACCAAAGCGACGAUCAGUAGCCGGACUGAGAGGUUGAACGGCCACAAUGGGACUGAGACACGGCCCAUACUCCUACGGAAGGCAGCAG
rnacentral:rRNA from 1 species